rnacentral:rRNA from 1 species
UUUUCGGUGACCGCUAGCGGCAGGCCUAAUACAUGCAAGUCGAACGGGAUUUGAGUAGCAAUACUUAAUGAGAGUGGCGCACGGGUGCGUAACGCGUAUGCAACCUACCUUUAACAGGGGGAUAGCUCCGAGAAAUCGGGAUUAAUACCCCAUAGUAUUAUUGAUUGGCAUCGAUUAAUAAUUAAAGCUCCGGCGGUUAAAGAUGGGCAUGCGUGCCAUUAGCUAGUUGGUGAGGUAAGGGCUCACCAAGGCGAUGAUGGCUAGGGGUUCUGAGAGGAUUAUCCCCCACACUGGUACUGAGACACGGACCAGACUCCUACGGGAGGCAGCAGUAAGGAAUAUUGGGCAAUGGACGCAAGUCUGACCCAGCCAUGCCGCGUGCAGGAAGACGGCCCUAUGGGUUGUAAACUGCUUUUAUCAGGGAAUAAACCCCCGGAUGUAUCCGGGGCUGAAUGUACCUGAAGAAUAAGCAUCGGCUAACUCCGUGCCAGCAGCCGCGGUAAUACGGAGGAUGCAAGCGUUAUCCGGAUUCAUUGGGUUUAAAGGGUGCGCAGGCGGAUUAUUAAGUCAGUGGUGAAAUCCUACAGCUCAACUGUAGAACUGCCAUUGAUACUGAUAAUCUUGAGUAUAUUUGAAGUGGGCGGAAUGUAGCAUGUAGCGGUGAAAUGCAUAGAUAUGCUACAGAACACCAAUUGCGAAGGCAGCUCACUAAACUAUAACUGAC